AAUGAACGCUGGCGGCAGGCAUAAAACAUGCAAGUCGAGCGAGCGGCGGACGGGUGAGUAAUGUCUGGGAAACUGCCUGAUGGAGGGGUAUAACUACUGGAAAUGGUAGCUAAUACCGCAUACCAUCAGAUGUGCCCACAGGGGAUUGGCUAGCAGGUGUGGUAACGGCUCACCUAGGCGACGAUCCCUACCUGGUCUGAGAGGAUGACCAGCCACACUGGAACUGAGACACGGUCCAGACUCCUACGGGAGGCAGCAGUGGGGAAUAGUGCACAAUGGGCGGAAGCCGGAUGCAGCCAUGCCGCGUGUGUGCAGAAGGCCUUCGGGUUGUAAAGCACUGUCAGCGGGGAGGCGUUACCCGCAGAAGAAGCACCGGCUAACUCCGUGCCAGCAGCCGCGGUAAUAC
rnacentral:rRNA from 1 species